UACGUAGGGGGGCAAGCGUUGUCCGGAAUCAUUGGGCGUAAAGCGCGUGUAGGCGGUUCGGUAAGUCGGCUGUGAAAGUCCAGGGCUCAACCCUGGGAUGCCGGUCGAUACUGCCGGACUAGAGUUCGGAAGAGGCGAGUGGAAUUCCCGGUGUAGCGGUGAAAUGCGCAGAUAUCGGGAGGAACACCAAUGGCGAAGGCAGCUCGCUGGGACGUUACUGACGCUGAGACGCGAAAGCGCGGGGAGCGAACGGG
rnacentral:rRNA from 1 species